rnacentral:rRNA from 1 species
GACGAACGCUGGCGGCGUGCUUAACACAUGCAAGUCGAACGGUGAAGCGCCUUCCUUUUUGGUGUGUGUGGAUGGGUGGCGAACGGGUGAGUAACACGUGAGUAACCUGCUCCCUUCGUCUGGAUAUCCGCAUGAAAGUGUGGCUAAUACGGGAUAUUCUGGGUCUGUCGGAUGAUGGGUCUGGGAAAGAUAUGCUUUCGGUGGGGGAUGGGAUCGCGGCCUAUCAGCUUGUUGGUGGGGUGAUGGCCUACCAAGGCGGUGACGGGUAGCCGGCCUGAGAGGGUGGACGGCCAUGGUGGGGAUGAACGGUCGACACGACUCCUACGGGCAGCAGCAGGGAGGAAUCUUGAACGAGGGGAGGCCUGAUGAAGCAGCGACGCCGCGUGAAGGAAGGAGGCCUGCUGGUAGUGAACCUCUAUCGGGGGUGAAGAAGGGCUGCAUCGUUUGUGGGCAGGUUGACGGUACCUGGAUAAGAAGCGCCGGCUAACUACGUG